UUUCAGCACCUCCAACUCCACGUCCAGCCUCAAGGACGACUGCAGGACUUUUGACCUUUUGUUCACCUAAUAUGUGAUGGGAGAGUUGGUGCAGAAAUCCCCCUCUGUCUGCAGUCGAUAGCUGUGCCCUGUAAGCCUCGCUUGAACCAGCAACCUGACAAAGUCUUAUCUUCACAAAACUGGGACAGAACUUUAAGGUAAACUUAUCAGCAAACAUACAGCAAGAGAACUCACAAACUGUGUUCAAGGUUUUCAUCUGAAAGCUUUUUUAUAUAGAAGUUGCUCUCCUGUCAUGUCAACCUUAAAAAAUUGGCUUAAUCACUUACCUGACAAGAUGCUUUCAGAGAUACAGUAUGUGUCUACUGAGAGUGCCCAGAGUGUUUAAAGAAUAAGUUAAAUUCAAGCUGUAAUGUUCUGAAAUAAGAGUGGCACAUCUGACUGUUCACACCUUAAGCUACAAUGGAAUACACUCGUAAAAUAUCCUAGCGGUGCUAUUAAUGAGUUGACAAACAUUUGGAGCAAACACUGUUGUUCGUCUCUGGUAUGUCCAUAUAUCUACAAUAAUGCAAUCAACAUUUCACUGGAGAGAUUAACAGCCUGAAUAAGCUCAAAGAGAGUAUGUAACAGAUGGAUAAAAUCAGGAUUUCUAAUGACAGGAAAAGCUCCUUUGGGUUUGUGUUAAUUUGGCUCCCCCUGUUGGCAUUGACAUUCUUAUAGAGAGUCAUCUGAAGAAAAAAAAAAAGUCCUGUUGAUGGAGACAUCUGUCAACAUUAUAAGUGUAAAAUAUAAAAACAGGACUGUUUCUUCAGCUGCUUGACUGACAUCUACCCCCUGGCAUGAGAUUCUGGCUUUAAAAUGACACUAUAGAAAGAUUGAUCUUGCUGUUGAUGAUCAUGUUUGCUCUUGUACAUUAUUAAAGCAUCAACAUAGUUUUUGUCUAUUUCAUUAACACUAAUGAACUCCACCCUGGAGCUUUAAGCUAAAAAAUAAUAUCUUCACACCAGCAUGUACAAACAUUGUACUGUGAUUACUGACUGAUCAGAAACCUUCUCUCUGCUGAUAUGGAAUGUUUCCCACUUGAUCCAAAUUCAGUCAGAGAUUUAAUCUUAACACCUAAUUUUCAUAGAGAUCCCCGGGUUACUUCAGAUCCACAAAGGCCACAUGCCUUAGCUCAAGAUGUCCACAAUCCAUCUCACCAUGUCAGAGCAGAGUUUGAAUCCUUCUCCUUUUAUAGGUACAAGAAUAAACCGUGAGUAAACCGAGUAUGUCUUCAGUGUUUCACUGACUCAACAUCUUUACAAAUUCU